UACGAAGGGGGCUAGCGUUGCUCGGAAUCACUGGGCGUAAAGCGCACGUAGGCGGACUCUUAAGUCAGGGGUGAAAUCCUGGAGCUCAACUCCAGAACUGCCUUUGAUACUGGGAGCCUUGAGUUCGGGAGAGGUGAGUGGAACUGCGAGUGUAGAGGUGAAAUUCGUAGAUAUUCGCAAGAACACCAGUGGCGAAGGCGGCUCACUGGCCCGAUACUGACGCUGAGGUGCGAAAGCGUGGGGGAGCAAACAGG
rnacentral:rRNA from 1 species